rnacentral:rRNA from 1 species
CUACGUAGGGUGCAAGCGUUAAUCGGAAUUACUGGGCGUAAAGCGUGCGCAGGCGGUUUUGUAAGACAGUGGUGAAAUCCCCCGGCUCAACCUGGGGACUGCCUUUGUGACUGCAAGGCCGGAGUGCGGCAGACGGGGAUGGAAUUCCGCGUGAAGCAGGGGAAUGCGUAGAUAUGCGGAGGAACACCGAUGGCGAAGGCAAUCCCCUGGGCCUGCACUGACGCUCAUGCACGAAAGCGUGGGGAGCAAACAGGAUUAGAUACCCUGGUAGUCCACGCCCUAAACGAUGUCAACUGGUUGUUGGGGAUUUAUUUUCUCAGUAACGAAGCUAACGCGUGAAGUUGACCGCCUGGGGAGUACGGCCGCAAGGUUAAAACUCAAAUGAAUUGGCGGGG